ACCAAUCUUGUGUUCUAAGUUGGUAUCAGACACGAUCCAACCCACACUUCCAAAAAAACUCACGUUCAUAUUCAAAGCACCAAAACCACAAAAAAAAAAAAAAAAGGCAUUCCCGAUUGCACAACCAUCUUCUGGUUGGUUUCACUACCAUUAAGAACUCAUGCAUUCCCGAUUGCACAACAAUUCCGCAAAGCUUGCAAAUUUCCACUUAACAGGAAAACAUCAAGUAUUUCAACAAAAAAGGUUCUACCAAAGCACCACCGAGACCCAAAUUUUGGUUAUGAAAGAAGAAUGAAAAAGAAAAACUUUCUGCAGUUUCAAGCUCCAAACUGCAUAUGCCGUGAUGCACAGGAACCAAAAUAUCUCUUCCGCGUAUUUUCUCUUAUAGCCAGACCAUUUAAGCAGAGAAUGUGGAAGCCAUAUACAAGUUCACCACUGCUAAACAACUCCACGGAAUUAGUAACACAUCCCUAACAGCCAACUGCUCUUAGGCUUGGUGUUGGAUGGCUAAUGGCUCCUGCAAAGAUUAAGGGCGAGUGUUAAAAGCACACUGCGUCAUCACUGACACGCACGAUGAUGUCACAAGAGUCACGAAGAACACGUGAAGGCGAGUGCGAUGAUAUUCCAGUAAUGCGAUAUAAUCGCUCUAAUAGAUCCAAAAAAAUGGGCUUUAUUAGCUGUAACCCACUAUCUGAAUUAGCUGUCAUCCACUAUGUAACCCAUUUAUAAAGAGAAAUUAUCCAGGAGAGAGUGGCAGGGUCUGUAUUCUUGAGUGUUCUAAGAGGGAGAAAGUAAUUUGCUGUCCAAGUUAGGGUUCACUUGUAUUUGUAUUUGUGAUAAUUCUUCCAAUUAAUAAGAAUAAUACUUUGAGUUUUCAUCA